rnacentral:lncRNA from 1 species
AUAUGCAAGCUCCUGGAAUGCCUGUGGUUUCUCCAGCACCUGGGUCCUGCUGGCAACCAGCAGCACCCAGUGGCCAGCAGCGUACUCUUUCACCUCUUCUUGGGUGACUUUGUGGAAUGCUCCAAUGUGACAUCUCCCUGUGAACGCCUUUCCUGACACCCUAAAAAGUGUCAGGAAUUUCCAGCAAGUUCCAGAGAGCAGGUUUCCAGCAAGUUUGGUCAGUAUGACACCACAGCGAUAUCUCUGCCAUUCACUGAACUUGGAUUCUUCCUUCUUCAGUGAGAGAUGUUCAAGAAAAAGAACAACUUCAGUGGAAGAAGAAGAAGAUAGGAGCCCAGGUCCUGUGUUUCACCAAGACAGCCGUGCAAAGCAGAUGCUGCCAAAAAGGUGCAAAGUGGUUUGUCAGCUCUUCUGCAUGUUCUAACAAAUUAGACAUGCAUCCCAAAAGGUUUCCUAGACUUUCCAUCACCACCAGUGAAUUCUGAGUGACAAUAGUGUGGAAUUUGGAAGAAUGGAAGAGAAACUGAAGUGGAGAGAUGGUGAAAGAGAAGAAAAAAUGAAGAAAGAUGCUUGCAAAAAUACUGCUGUGGGUCCUGAGAUGAGGAUUCUGGGAGGGCUGAAAUGGAUGCCCCUGACAGCUCCCUUUGAGUUCCUGUUCAUCUGAAGUACACCAGCUUUCUAGAUAUGCUGUCACUUUCCUUCUGCAGAGCCACAGUGGUGUCCUGUCUUCUCAGACCUCUUCUCACCUCAAAUCACUUAGGACUCGGCCACCAGACAGAUUUGGGAUUUCAGAACUUUUCAGAUGUUAGAAAGUUCUUUUCUAAAUGUGAUGAGGAAUUACGGAAUCAUAAAAUGGAAGCAGAGUUAAACUCAGACAUGUGGGCACUCAAGGCAAUUAGGAGCUUUCUGCGAUGAGAAAGGGAUCAGACUGAUCCUUAAGACUUUAUGCAACCCCAGAGUAUUGCAGCCACCUGCAUGCCGAAGGUGUCAAGAGUGUUCUCACUGCUGCCUAUAGGAGGGUCUUCAGCCUCCAGUGAUCCAAAGUACCAGGCUGACCUGUGACUGCUUCGGCCAACUGAAUAGGGAAGAGUGAUGCUGUGCUGUUUCCAGGCCUGUUCUUUAAAAGUACUUGGAAGCUUCUGCCUUGGCCUCUUUGUGCCUGAGUUGCUGUAUAAGAAUCUGACUACCUUGCUGGAGAGACCUUGUGGAGAAGACUUGACCUUAUAUGCAGAGGUAGAGGGGCCCUGGUUAGUCCAGCCAUCUAGCCAUCCUGUCAAAAUAGCAGGAGUAUGAUGGCCAAUGGAUCCAAAACCUAUCCUAUAUCUACAUGUUGGUGGCCACAUUAAUCUGACAUCUGACAGCAAGAGCGAUGAUUGGGUUCACUGGAAAUCUUUGUGAAGUACGAGUGAAGUCCUUGUGAAGUCAGAGUUUCCUCUUCAUGCCUCUACUCCUAUGCAGUUUGACCUCUCAGUGUGCAGCUGGUGAUAGAUGGAAACCCUUGUUCAUAAGCUUUGUGGCACUGUCGGCAGGAUGAGGGGACUUCUGGAUCCUCACUGGUCACUGUGGCAGAGUGGUUGGUGUUGUCUGCUCCCUAGACAGGAACCCACUGAAGAAUCUGACAUUUUUUGAUAUGCUGGCAUUCAUUGUUACAGCCCAUCAUCCCAGCCAUCAAUCCAGGACAUGGGGUCUGUGCCCACGGUGGGAAGGAGGAGGGGGAAGCUGGCUUUGUUCUGACGUUGGGCUUCUUCUGCUCCACCAGUACUUUCUGUGGGGGAAAUAGGUAAAGAAAUGGCUGUUCAGAUGAGAAGAUGUGUCAGUAAACUUUUGCUACAGUGAUGCUGCAAAACAAAUCACUGGUGACUUUCAGUGGCACACAGCAAUAAACAUUUAUUUAGCUCAGGGAUUGACAAUCUUUUUUUUUUUUUAAAGGGCCAAAUAGUAAAUAUUUUAGGUGUUUCAGGCCAUACAGUCUCUGAACUCUGAACUUGUAGCACAACAGUAGCCUUAGAUGCUAUGCAAAUGGAGGAGCAUGACUGUGUUCCAAUAAAACUUUAUUUAUGGACACUAAAAAAAAAAAAAAA